CCUGGUCCUUGGUCUCACCUGUGAUAA
rnacentral:piRNA from 1 species